UGGGGAAUCUUGCACAAUGGGGGCAACCCUGAUGCAGCGACGCCGCGUGAGCGAUGAAGCCCUUCGGGGCGUAAAGCUCUUUCGACCGGAACGAUAAUGACGGUACCGGGAGAAGAAGCUGCGGCUAACUACGUGCCAGCAGCCGCGGUAAUACGUAGGCAGCAAGCGUUGUUCGGAGUUACUGGGCGUAAAGAGUGCGUAGGCGGUUUUCUAAGUUCGGUGUGAAAUCUCCCGGCUUAACUGGGAGGGUGCGCCGAAGACUGGGAAGCUGGAGUGUGGGAAAGGCAGGCGGAAUUUCUGGUGUAGCGGUGAAAUUCGUAGAUAUCAGGAGGAACACCGGCGGUGUAGACGGCUUGCUAGACCAUAACUGACGCUGAGGCACGAAAGCGUGGGUAGCAAACA
rnacentral:rRNA from 1 species